AGGCAGGUACAAACAGGUAAAAGGAGAGGGGGAAGGGAGAAAGGAGUAACUGGAUACACGGAAACAUGUGUAAGAAAUAACUUCAGAAAAUACAACACUGAAAGUUAGCAACACUAAAGGCAUAUACGUAGGCACAAGCCUUUAUAAUGCAUUUAUAAAGGUUGAAGCCCAGAACCACAAAGGGGAAAAAUCAAGACCUCAUGAAACGCAGAUCGAUAAUGCAUCCAGCUCAAAGCUCAGAAGCUGAUAAGUGAAUCUGUCUACUGAUGAAGCACCUUUGGAUCCCUGAACAGAAGUCAAAUCAGUGUUCAUGAGAGUGAUUGCCUGAGGGAAGAAACUGUUCCUGUGCCUGGCCGUCCUGGUGCUCAGUGCUCUGUAGUGUCGACCAGACGGCAACAGUUCAAAGAGGGAGUGUGCUGGAUGUGAGGGGUCCAGAGUGAUUUUGCCAGCUCUUUUGCUCACUCUGGAUAAGUACAGUUCUUGGAGAGUGGGGAGGGGUGUACCAGUGAUUUGCUCAGCAAUCCGGACGUCCCUCUGCAGUCUUCUGAGAUCAGAUUUGGUAGCUGAGCUGAACCAGACAGUUAUUGAAGUGCAGAGGACGGAAUCAAUGAUGGCAGAGUAGAACUGUUUCAGCAGCUCCUGUGGCAGGUUGAACUUCCUCAGCUGGCGAAGGAAAUACAACCUCUGCUGGGCCUUUUAAACAAUGGACUCAAUGUGAAUCUAUAUAUUCAAGUGUUCAAUUAAAUAUGAAUAUUAUUAAAUGACGCAAAAGUGUGAAAUAUUAGUUCUUAUCCUAUGUGAAUAACCAGGAUAUAUAUAACUGUUUUGGAAUGAUAGCUUCUUUAUGUUUAGUUCCCCCAUUACAGAGGAGCGUAUGGGAAAAAUAAAGCAGUAUACGUCAAGAUUAUGAUUCAAGUAGCUUGACUGGGAUGGUCAGAGGCUUUACAUACAGUAAUUUCAUUAGUCACAGCAGGCUAAGUAAAGCAAGUUUAAUCAAGUUUCAUUUUCACUUAUUCACAACAAUUCACAUAUUGGGCCUACUGUGUAGUAAUCAUAAACAUUCAGACAUUUAUAAGGUUCAAAUAAACAUGACUGAAAUUCACCCAGAAUCUCAACCUCCCAUGUUUUUGUUUUUUAAUAUAUAUAUAUAUUUUUUCAAUUAAAAAUAAUAAUGUUACAUAUACUUACAAACAUCAAGAAUAUAGCACAAGCAUUUGUCCAUCUCAGAGGGAGCUUAGUACAUUUCUAUAUAAAUAAUAAAAAUAUAUUACUAAAUAAAAAGAUAUUAAAGAGAUUACAAAUUCUCAGAGUUUUAAUUGCCUUUUGUUUCAUAGAAAAGCGAAUUGAGUCAAUAUAAUGUUCCAUUUCUUUUUUAAAGGACAUAAAGCAGGGUUUUGUUUUUUUUUUUGUUUGUUUGUUUUUUUUAGGACAAUUUACAUUUGUGAAUAUGGCAUAUUCAUAUAUUUGAGAAUAUAUUACCAAUAAAAGAAUAAGAUUGAUCAUAUAAA